AUUGAACGCUGGCGGCAUGCCUUACACAUGCAAGUCGAACGGCAGCACGGGUGCUUGCACCUGGUGGCGAGUGGCGAACGGGUGAGUAAUACAUCGGAACAUGUCCUGUAGUGGGGGAUAGCCCGGCUAAAGCCGGAUUAAUACCGCAUACGAUCUACGGAUGAAAGCGGGGGACCUUCGGGCCUCGCGCUAUAGGGUUGGCCGAUGGCUGAUUAGCUAGUUGGUGGGGUAAAGGCCUACCAAGGCGACGAUCAGUAGCUGGUCUGAGAGGACGACCAGCCACACUGGGACUGAGACACGGCCCAGACUCCUACGGGAGGCAGCAGUGGGGAAUUUUGGACAAUGGGCGAAAGCCUGAUCCAGCAAUGCCGCGUGUGUGAAGAAGGCCUUCGGGUUGUAAAGCACUUUUGUCCGGAAAGAAAUCCUUGGCCCUAAUACGGUCGGGGGAUGACGGUACCGGAAGAAUAAGCACCGGCUAACUACGUG
rnacentral:rRNA from 1 species